GUGAGGAAUAUUGGACAAUGGGCGCAAGCCUGAUCCAGCCAUGCCGCGUGCAGGAAGAAGCAUCUAUGGUGUGUAAACUGCUUUUGUACGGGAAGAAACACUCCUUCGUGAAGGAGCUUGACGGUACCGUAAGAAUAAGGAUCGGCUAACUCCGUGCCAGCAGCCGCGGUAAUACGGAGGAUCCAAGCGUUAUCCGGAAUCAUUGGGUUUAAAGGGUCCGUAGGCGGUUUGGUAAGUCAGUGGUGAAAGCCCGCAGCUCAACUGUGGAACGGCCAUUGAUACUGCCAGACUUGAAUUACAAGGAAGUAACUAGAAUAUGUAGUGUAGCGGUGAAAUGCUUAGAUAUUACAUGGAAUACCAAUUGCGAAGGCAGGUUACUACUUGUGGAUUGACGCUGAUGGACGAAAGCGUGGGGAGCGAACAGGAUUAGAUACCCGUGUAGUCC
rnacentral:rRNA from 1 species